AUGAGCUUAUACUGCUAUGGCCUCCGUGACACAACACCAUCUUACGCCGUCAUCUUUGUGAACCUAAUUCCGUUGGCCACCUUCAUCCUAUCGCUCGUCUUCAGAAUGGAGACGUUGCGAAUCUGGAGUGUGGUUGGAUCGCUGAAGAUUGCAGGCGUUUUAUUCUCUGUUGGAGGCACAAUGCUCAUUAGCCUUUACAAGGGCAAGGCGUUGCAUCUCUGGGAUCCCAUCCUGAAGAUCCACCCCAAGGAACAAACAACCGAGGGUGCAGGGAAUCAACUAAGAGGGACAAUAUUCUUGGUAGGCAGCAGCUUCGCAUAUGCUUGCUGGUACCUGAUCCAGUCAAAGGUUCUCAAGGUGUAUCCAUACAAGUAUUGGUCAUCCAUGGUGACAUGCUUGGUUGGAGGAUUCCAAACAGCACUAGUUGGAAUAAUAUUGAAUACAGACAAGAACGCAUGGAAGCUAGGAUGGAAUCUCGACCUUGUGACUAUCUUGUACUCGGGGGCACUUGCAACAGCAGGGAAAUAUUGCCUGAACUCAUGGGCUGUUGCCAAGCGAGGCCCAACAUAUCCUCCGAUGUUCAACCCAUUGUCUGUGGUAUUCACAAUUUUGCUGGACUCCAUCAUCAUAGGCAAUGAAAUUACAGUCGGAAGCCUGCUCGGUACAACAAUGGUGCUUGUCGGGCUUUACACUUUCCUAUGGGCAAAAUCAAAAGAAGUACGUGACAAAUAG
rnacentral:rRNA from 1 species